CCACUGGUAGGAUAUGUCCUCUGUCCAGAGAUGUUUAAAACUAUGGCAGAUGCUGUCAAAUUGGUUUAUUUCUGUACCAGGCACAUCUAACUCAAAAGUCAGGUCAUGCCUUUCUAAAACUGGGAAAAUAGUGGAACACAUUUGGACUGAUGUGAAGAGAUGCUGUUUUCCUGAUAGUUCCCCUGGCCAAAGCCCACUAUUACAGUAGAUGAAUCUCGGCCAACCAUGCUCGCCUCACGA